rnacentral:rRNA from 1 species
CGGCUUCUUCGGAAGCAGUGGCGGACGGGUGAGUAACGCGUGGGAACAUACCCUCCGGUUCGGAAUAGCUCAGGGAAACUUGGAUUAAUACCGGAUACSGCUGAGAGGCGAAAGAUUUAUCGCCGGAGGAUUGGCCCGCGUUCGAUUAGCUUGUUGGUGAGGUAACGGCUCACCAAGGCGAUGAUCGAUAGCUGGUCUGAGAGGAUGAUCAGCCACAUUGGGACUGAGACACGGCCCAAACUC